rnacentral:rRNA from 1 species
AUGAACGCUAGCUACAGGCUUAACACAUGCAAGUCGAGGGGCAGCAUGAACUUAGCUUGCUAAGUUUGAUGGCGACCGGCGCACGGGUGAGUAACACGUAUCCAACCUGCCGAUGACUCGGGGAUAGCCUUUCGAAAGAAAGAUUAAUACCCGAUGGCAUAGUUCUUCCGCAUGGUAGAACUAUUAAAGAAUUUCGGUCAUCGAUGGGGAUGCGUUCCAUUAGGUUGUUGGCGGGGUAACGGCCCACCAAGCCUUCGAUGGAUAGGGGUUCUGAGAGGAAGGUCCCCCACAUUGGAACUGAGACACGGUCCAAACUCCUACGGGAGGCAGCAGUGAGGAAUAUUGGUCAAUGGACGAGAGUCUGAACCAGCCAAGUAGCGUGAAGGAUGACUGCCCUAUGGGUUGUAAACUUCUUUUAUACGGGAAUAAAGUGAGGCACGUGUGCCUUUUUGUAUGUACCGUAUGAAUAAGGAUCGGCUAACUCCGUGCCAGCAGCCGCGGUAAUACGGAGGAUCCGAGCGUUAUCCGGAUUUAUUGGGUUUAAAGGGAGCGUAGGCGGACGCUUAAGUCAGUUGUGAAAGUUUGCGGCUCAACCGUAAAAUUGCAGUUGAUACUGGGUGUCUUGAGUACAGUAGAGGCAGGCGGAAUUCGUGGUGUAGCGGUGAAAUGCUUAGAUAUCACGAAGAACUCCGAUUGCGAAGGCAGCCUGCUGGACUGUAACUGACGCUGAUGCUCGAAAGUGUGGGUAUCAAGCAGGAUUAGAUACCCUGGUAGUCCACACAGUAAACGAUGAAUACUCGCUGUUUGCGAUAUACAGUAAGCGGCCAAGCGAAAGCGUUAAGUAUUCCACCUGGGGAGUACGCCGGCAACGGUGAAACUCAAAGGAAUUGACGGGGGCCCGCACAAGCGGUGGAGUAUGUGGUUUAAUUCGACGCAACGCGAAGAACCUUACCAGGUCUUGACAUUGAUCGCGAUCUGCAGAAAUGCGGAGUUCUUCUUCGGAAGACGAGAAAACAGGUGGUGCACGGCUGUCGUCAGCUCGUGUCGUGAGAUGUUGGGUUAAGUCCCGCAACGAGCGCAACCCCUGUUCUUAGUUGCCAGCACAUAAUGGUGGGAACUCUAAGAAGACUGCCGGUGAUAAAUCGGAGGAAGGUGGGGACGACGUCAAAUCAUCAUGCCCUUUAUGUCCUGGGCUACACACGUACUACAAUGGCUAUAACAAAGGGAAGCGAAGUCGCGAGGUGAAGCAAAACCCAAAAAAGUAGUCUCAGUUCGGAUUGAAGGCUGAAAUUCGCCUUCAUGAAGCCGGAAUUGCUAGUAAUGGCAGGUCAGCAUACUGCCGUGAAUACGUUCCCGGGCCUUGUACACACCGCCCGUCACACCAUGGGAGCCGGUAAUACCCGAAGUCAGUAGUCUAACCGCAAGGAGGACGCUGCCGAAGGUAGGAUUGGCGACUGGGGUG